AAGUUUCAUGAACCGUACUUGUGCUCGGAUAUACUUUCCGAUUCGUAGGUUCUGUCGUGCGCCGAAUGCCUGUCCAGAGCGUCCGCAAUAGCGUCUAUAGCACUGGUGCGAUCGUUGCACGACCGCAGAACGGCGUCGCGGUACCAGUGAGGGCGUCGGCUCGAGCGCGUACUCGAAUACACAGUCAAUGGCGCCUCGGGGCCUUUUUUUCGAUCGGCCGCUUGUUAUUGGUUUCAGUUCCUCCUGGCAUGCUUCGAGCCUGAGAGGCUUCCCCACAAAAUUGGAUAGCCUCAGCUCUUCAGGUCUCGAAUUCAGCACCGCAUAUCUUCUGAAAUGGCUGGCGCCGUUCAAGUCUCGGUUCACGAACGUCUUGCAUGCAUUGGCGCUGGUUGAACUCAGCAUUGCAGGGAGUCCUCGAACGCUUGCCCUCUGUGCCAGUACGGUCUCGUCGUCGUCCUGUCGGGCAAACACCUGUUGUCGCCGAUCACUACUCUCUUCUUCUUCUUCGCUCGAAGGUCGACGAGAAGAGGAUUUUUCUCGUUUUUUUUCAUGGCAGGCUGCGACACCGGGCCUCGAGGAUGCCCGGCUUCCAUGCCCAUACUUUUCCCUUCGAGCUGUUUUUGAAAAUGGACGCUUUUCACACGCGCCUUGUAUCAACUGCGAGAAAGCAUUUGAUGACACGCACCCGGGGAAUGGAGCACAACUGAGGUGAAAUACCAGAAGAUUGCUUCCUUUUGUUCUCUUCAUCCCCCGGCUUUAAAUGGUCCAGAGUCUCUCCUGUAACUCCAGCGCCGUUACUAGAAGUCGAAGGAUGUUGGUGGCAGCGUCAAGUCCAGAUUCGCUGAUUCCGCUUCAAUCGAUGCAUCGGAUGCGUAUCACUGCGAACGAAGCUUCGCUUCCAUUUGCAUUGUCGAUUCAUGCAGCCACGGUACGCCCGUCGCUACGGUGGCACUUGGCUCCGUUUGGUUGUUCGGGGAUGUCCGCCGGAGACCUUGUCCUCGAAGCGUCACCCACGGCGCGUGAAGGCUUGCUCCGUCGCUCGGUGAAUGCCAUCAACGUGUACAGAGGGGCCCUUCUCGACACUCUCCUCCGUCUCCGCGUCCGCUGCCGCACCUACCGAUUACGGGCUUUUUCUGGCCGACUCACUGGGUGAAGACUCUGUCUACUGCACAAGUAAACGCGCGCUGUUCCAUGAAAUAGAGGAUUUUUGGAACUGGAUGUUUUUCAUUCUGAAACAAGUGCCGUAAGGAAAAUAGAUGCUGAAGAACAGAUCGAGCAGUCUCGAUCCGUAGACAAUGCGUUUGUGCAGAACACUGAUGCGUUUUCCGCCGGAAGCGAUCGCUACGAGAGCGCAGGUCCGAGUCCAGGACCUCGUCGUUUCAUGGAAGAAGAAAGCCUAGCUUCUGGGGGCAUAGGUUCUGACAGGUAUCAUGCUGCUGUGGAAUACGGGUUUUUUCGAUGCCCUCAGCAAGACGCGGAUUCGACUUUCGAAUGGAAUCUACCGUUUGACAUGACAAGUUCAGAGAAAUUUCGGCAUGAAUUUAUAGACAAGCCGUCAAAGGUUGCGGUCGCGUUUUUCGCCUCGUCAAUCCAGCGGCAUGAAGUCCUGUACCUGCGAGUUGCCUUGAAAAAGAAAGAUCGGAAAGUUAAACCAUGGGUGAUUCGAGCACACUACACGUAAAAAAAGGAGAAGCG